rnacentral:lncRNA from 1 species
GUGAGGCAUUGGAUUCAAAAAAAUUCUUUAAAGAUUUUGAUCUCUAUUUUAUUGUAUAUCAGGUAAAGAUAAAUUAAUAGAAUAAAAAAAAAUUUUAGAUGCACCCUGACAAUCCGAUCCUCAUCAGAUUUGUUUUCUUCAACUAGUAUCAGAGCCAGGUUGAUAUAUAGAUGUAUAGAUAAUUUUUUUGAUAUAUUUACAUCUUGUAUAUAAUUAGAUUUUUAUGU